rnacentral:rRNA from 1 species
GUCUACAACCAUGCUACCCUGAACAAGCGCAUUCCCGUCUGAUCUCGGAAGCUAAGCAGGGUCGGGCCUGGUUAGUACUCGGAUGGGAGACCACCUAGGAAGACCAGGUGCUGUAGGCG